AAAAGUGUAAAACGGGCUGCUCAGCACUCCGGAAAACCGUGUUAUCACCAGGGAUGGUCUGAGGACUGACAGAUUUGAGUAUGACAUCAUUGCCC